rnacentral:rRNA from 1 species
UACAGAGGGUGCGAGCGUUGUUCGGAAUUACUGGGCGUAAAGCGUGCGCAGGCGGUUGUGUAAGAUAGGUGUGAAAUCCCCGGGCUUAACCUGGGAACUGCGCUUGUGACUGCACAGCUAGAGUAUGGCAGAGGGGGGUGGAAGUUCCGACGUGUAGCAGUGAAAUGCGUAGAGAUGUGGAGGAACACCGAUGGCGAAGGCAGCCCCCUGGGCCAAU